CCCUUUGUCGCGAGAAAUUAAUGCACUCUGGCAAGCAAGUGUCCACAAGCAAUCUCAUUAAACUGGAAGUAUGGAGAUUUAAAAUCAAGAAUAUUCUACUCGUAAUUCUUUGAUUAUCACCUAGUAUACCGAUAUAUCUCGAAGUUUCUAUCACCUUGCGUUUCUACAUUUUAUAGCUGGUGUCUAUGAUUUUGUGUUUUGCCGCUUUAGCAGUCGUUUCAAUGAUUAGUCAAAUGUUCCUCUUUUAGUUUAUGCCUUACAAAAAUAUCACUAUAAAAGUUAUUUUGUUGUGUAAAUAAUUGUGUGUGUAAGUUUUUCAAUAAUAUUUUACAGUACAAGUUUGAGUGCUGCGUUUUGUAUUGCAUUUUUUAUUGGAUUUGGCCAAGCCAACAUGAAGAUUGCAUCAUUAUUUCUUAGUGUUGCUAUUACAUGCAGUGUUCACUAUGUGAGGGCUGUAGCAGCAGAUCAAGAUCGACUGUUUAACAUGUGCAUAGAUAGCAAACAUCACAAAAGCAAACCAGGUCCUGAAGCAGAACUUUUUCAGCAGUGUACACCGUGGAAGGAUCGCUCUUGUUGCACCCACAACACCACACAGCAUGCCCAUUAUGGCAGCUUGUACAAUUUUAAUUUCAAUCAUUGUGGACAUGUAAAAAAUUUAUCUCAAGACUGCAGAAGGCAUUUCAUUCAAGAUCAGUGUUUCUACGAAUGCUCUCCAAAUGUUGGUCCCUGGGUUGUGAAGGUGCAAAUGAAGAUUCGCAAUGAAAGGUUUUUUAACGUGCCUCUGUGCCAGGAAGACUGUGAUUCCUGGUUCAAUGCAUGCUUGGAUGAGUACACAUGUACAGAUAACUGGGGAAGAAAUUUCAACUGGACAAAGGAAGGCAACUCCUGCUUGAAAGGAACAGAAUGCAGGACGUUCAGAGAAGUUUAUGAAACUGCCAGCCAUUUCUGUGAGAAGGGCACGUCAUUUCUCCCUGCAAGAUGAGACCACAGUGAUUACUUGUUGAGUCAAAUCACAUACCCGAUUACACAUGGUGGGCCGCUGGAUUGGCCAUUUCUACCUACCCUGUUUAUGUAGAUGGUGAACAAGAAUGCAUGAAGGUUUGGGAUCACUCUUGGAAAGUUGUGCCCAAUGACCAACCAUGCAUGAGGAUAUGGUUUGAUGGCUCACAUGGUAAUCCAAAUGACAAUGUGGCCAAGUUGAAGGCUGAAGAACUAACUAGAAAUUACCAUAAUUCUGGGUGUAAAAUUUAUGUAAAUUUCACCAGUUUUGUAUUACAACUCAUAAUUCUAGAGUUUACAUUCUUGCUGGCAUAGAUUCAAGAAAGCAAUAAGUAUGAGUAUGGUAGCAUGCAAAUUAAAGCUGGGGGUAGUACGUAUUGGGCUGUUCAUAGUUCCUUAUAAAUAUGGUCAUGUGAAGUGUGGGCAACUAGAAAAAUAAUUUUUUGGGUAUUAGUUUAUAGUGGAAUUUAUAAUCACCUGACCACAGUAACACCUCAACUUACAUUUUUGGCAUUUAAGUAAUUUAUAUUUUGUGGAAGUUAAAUUAUUGAUCACUUCCCUUCUUAAAAACUGCAAGUUAAGAUGAUUUUCAUAUUUACUUGUGUUAAGAUGUCAUUAUUAAAUGCUAAUUUUGUUGAUCCUUAGAGUUUCUGAAAGGUAAAGUUUCCUUCAAUUUUUUUUGUAACAAAUGAAUUAUAAUAAUGGUAUAUUAGUUCUGUUUAUUAGUUAAAUAUCCCCACAAUGAUGAAAUUCGUGUUUUGUGCAUAUUAUGAUAGUCUACCUUGCGAUUAUUUAGCUGCUUCAACCUUAGAUAUUGAGAGGUUGGUCUUUGACAUAAAAAGUGAUCUACGUAUGUUAGGGGUCUCUAAACUUUUUAGUCUAAGGGCCACACUGACUCCUCUACUAAGUCCAAAAAGCAAAGACCUAGCUACCUCAUCAUACCAACAUACUGUCAAAGUAUGGUGGGCCGGAUAAUGGGCAAGUCCGGUCCGGCCUGCUGCCGUGGGUCGUAGUGGAGACCCCUGCUCUUUGUCCUAAAAUAAACAGAAGACACAUAUCUCAUCUUAAUGUGACAGUUGACAUGCUCCCCUUGUUUCUUGUUCUAGUUUUUAAUUAUCAACUUCUGUGCAUUAGCCCUUAUCUUAUUAUUCUUUCUUUCAUUCGCUACAUUUAUUCAAAAAAUAUGUAUGUUUGUUCUGGCAGAGCAUAUUUGUUCUUUUGCAUAUACUUGCAUAUAGCAUAAAAUAUAAGAUUUAUUUUAUGUGCUCAUGACUGUAGCUCAAAUUCUCACUAUGAAUGAUGAAAUGAAACAUUUGUGUAGUAAUGAAAAAUAAUUGAUCUUGUUAUUUGUUAAUAUUAUAUUCAAUAAAGGCAGAGAUAUGCACAUGCGCAGAGAAAGAUAGACAGAAAUGGACAAAGUUCCACUAAAUUCUGGGAAAAGCAGGAUCCUGUAUCAGAAUUACAUAACAGAAUGCCAUGAAUGCCUCAUAUUUACGUUUCACACUGGGGAAAAAAAAGCCUACCCUAUUAGAGCAGCACUUGUUUUACUGCAAAUAAAACCAUGGGACAUAAGGCAAUUUUAAAACCUCUGCCACAGAAGAAUAAGACAUUUGUUGAUGAAUAUUAAGUUCUUUUUAUUCAUGUGUUUUGAUAGAAAUGUGGUAUUCUCUUAAGCCCUGACUUAGAAACCCGUCUAGUUAUGUUGCUUUGGAAAAAUCUAUAGGCUAAAGAUUUUUUUUUUAGUUUUGGCAUUAUUCUAGCAGUAAAUAAUUGACAGCUGAAACAUCAAUUUGUGCAGACAGGAAACUACGUGAGGCAGUAAGCGAAACUGCAGAGUACUGUCUGCAGCUACUGCUGCUUGGGUUUACAUGCACAGCCAGGGGCAGUCCAAGAUUCGACAAGCCCAGAGACCGCCCAGCACCUUCAGAAAAAUACAGACUUUAAUAGUAAAAGUAAGAAUUGAAUUGUUAUUAGCAUGUAAUUUAAAGUGCCGAUUGGUUUCUAUCGAGUUUUCAAGAUUUUUUAUUAGAAAAACAUUUAAAGAUUUUAUUGCCCUAUAAUGUUGCACUUUAUUAAGAUUUAUUUAUUUAUUUAUUACUUUAGUAAGAAUAACAAAAUUUCUUAUGAUAAGUUAUCAAAACCAUAAUUGAAAUUUAAGUUCCAGGUUGGUUUAAAAUGUGGUUUUAAAGAGUAUUUUUUCUCCCAAAUUUUCAUGGGAAAUGCCCCUGAAACCCCAUUUUCCCUGGCGGCUAUUCCAUAGCCUAUUCCUCUCCUGGAGCUCCCAGUAAUUUUCCUCUCCAAAAUAUUAGACCUUGCUAAAGUUCUUGGUCCAGGGUCCUGCAAAGUCUAGGGCUGCCACAGUGCACAGCCACAGGCACAUUCAUGUAGUUAGUGCCUUCACAGACGCCUUUGUGGCAGUGAGCAUUUAAGCUAACUGCGGAUAUAAGUCACGUGCCAUGCAACUUGGGGUGUUACUGCUCAUUAUUUGCCAAGCUUGUGUUCAAGAAGUCAUGUUCACUUAUUUGUUGUUUGGGUGGUAUUCUAUAAACUAUUAAAUUGGCGAUGUAAUUUUUUUUCAUUGAUUUUGUUGUUGUCAUAACUGUCAUAGUUUCAGUUAGUUGUUUUAGUAUUUUUGUAUUUUUAGCAACAUAUAGGACUCUUGUUAUUAGAACUGCUGACAAUGAUACGACCAUAACUUUAAGUACUUGCGUAUUUUGAUAAACGGGUGUUACACACUUCAAUUAUGCCUGAUUAGAGAUUUUGCUGGAUUAUUAAACCUUAAUAUAGUUUUAACAGGAAUACCAAAUAAAAAUUAGUAUACACUAUUAUGGUAUUUAAAACAAGUUGUAAUAAGCUGAUCUAUUGAAGAAAAAAAUGUGUGUGUGGAAUCCACUUGUAACAGAAGUGAAACUUCUUGCUUAUUAUAUUAUUAGGUAUAGGAAACAUAAUUCUCUUUGGCUGAGGACACAGAUAAAUGUGUGUGUGUGCAAGUAUGUGAGAGCUAAUUUAUGCUAUUGUGCAAGUAUGCUGCGUCAUUUCUACCUCUCCCCUCCACCUCUACCGGUUCCUCCACCACGUACCUAACUAUUCCCCUUAUGCAAUCGGAAUUUUCGUAACGCUAAAAAAUUGUAGCCCCCUCAGCAAAGAAGUUUCACUUCAAAAAAUACAGAUAAUACAGAUAACCUUUACUGUUUAGAAAGGUCUUUGCAAUAAUGUUGUCUGCGAUUCAGAUCUCUUCUUCUGAAAAUCAUUACGGAAAUGUAAAAUGUAAUCUGCUAGAAAACAGGAAUCACUGUAAUGAAAUGAAAAUGGACAGUAAAGAUAAACUCUGAGCUAACUAAAAACAUUGGCAUUUCACUAAAAUGACAUGGCGGCCAAGGUUAACCAUCUGAACGAAAACUGAUCAAUUGGUGCUGGAUCGCAGAAUGUGCUGCUCCAUAGAAUGUUGCAUUAAAGACUUUCCACUGUACAUUACUUAGAACAGCACCAUUCACUCUGCAUUGUAGUAAUGAGACAGUGGUCACUACUAUUCGCAUUGUUUAUCUAGCAGAGUUCACGACGACUUUGUUAACUUGUGUUGCCAACCACAUAGCGUACAGUCAACGUGAAGUGUAGACAGACUAGGGUACAGUAACAGGUAUGUUUCUUUAGAGUUAAACAUGAGUUGCAAGUUUAUAUUUUGAUGCACAAUGUUUUUAAAAUUAAAUUGAAAGUUGAUCUGCCAAAUGAGAAUAUUAAAAUUGAUUACAAAAAUAGAGCAGUCUAAAAAGUAAUGCUUUGGAAGAGAAUUUUGUGAAAUAUGUACUCUGUUUUAUUAAAGACAUGAGGGAGAUACUGAAAUUUUUAGCAAAACCAGUCAUCAUUCAAUCUUAUUAAUGAGUGCAUCUAUUCAAUUUUUUUAUCUUUUAUUCUAUUGAUAAUAUGGUUGUUCUUUUUUGAUGCAUUCUGAACUCUGUAAAACUUUAGGGUUAGAAUGUGUUUAUUUGUACAUAGGUAUGUAUGGUGUGUUUCUUUAGAAGAUGUUGACCUUUUACAGUAUAAUAAUUUUCUAACUACAGGUACUGGUUUUGUAUUGUGUUGAUAUUGUUUACAUUUAUCCCUGUAAAGUUUUACAUCAGAUAACAAUCAAAAGCCAACUUAAAAAAAAACUUUUUUUGGUCUAAACAAGUUUCCUAAGACAUACAAAUAGAUUUUUACUUAAUUUGGCAAAAUUAUUACAUUUUAAAGUAAUAUGUAAUAAUUUAUUUUAAACUAAGAUCCAAAAUUUAAUAAUGGUCAAUUAUUUUCUGAUUGCAUAGCUGUUUCCAUAUAUAAUUUACUGGCUUUUGUUAAGUAUGAAAUUUUGUCAGAAAAAUUAUUGACUUGAUAAAUGAAUUUGUUUUAAGCAAAUAUCAUCUCUAAGGAAAAUAAAUUAAUGAAGGAAUAAUUGUUUGUAACUAUGUAAUAGGAAAAAUUGUAGUUAAAUGAAUACAUGAAUAUAGAUUACCUUGAAAUUAAGAUUACAAUCUUACCAGUUACUGGACCUGUGUGAAGCUUCGACUAAGUGAAUCAAAUCGAAGCUAUUUUUAAUAUUUUAAAUUUGACUUCUGUAGAAAGUUUUAAUUUUAUUUGAAGCUUCAAAUGUAAUGCGCAGCAUUGCGUCAGAUGUGCAACUUUGUUUGUAGUGAAUCAUAAAAACACUGGAAGCCUAAGUUUAAUUGCUUCUCAGUUAUAAGCCAAAAUUUCUAGUUUCGAAAUUGUGCGUUUUAAUUUCACAAUAACAGAUGAUCAUAACUAAAAUGAAGAGUUAGGUUGGUACAUCAAUCCCUCACUUAGCACGACUAAUGCGGUCCUAAAAAUGUUCGUGCUAUCCAAAAUCUCAUAUUCCGAAGCGUUGCUCUCCAUAUAUAGCAAGGCUAAUUUACUUCAUGUGUUUCAAAAUGUGUAGGGAAACAUUCUUCACAAAAUAUAAAUGCAUAGAAUAACAUUCAACUAUAAAUAUGUAACACCAUUUAUCUUCAUAAGCCUACCAUCGAAUACUUUGUAUGUUAAAUACGACAUUGAAUAACGGUACUUAUCCUCGGUCAACUGUUAAACUUGCCUGCCCGGACGUGACCUUCAACUCACGUCACAUACCUUUCCAUACCAUCAUUAACUGGCAGUGAAACCAAUAUUACUGUCCGGAUAUUUACAUUUUAAUGUAUCAUCGCAAGGUUCACACCAAUCCUUUCAGACCAGUGAUUUUUUUUUUCAUUGCACCAUUCAUUUAACUACCUUUAAGUGUGGCCUUCCUGACAUUCUGCAUGCCGUAAUACUUCUAGCUUUGAUUCAAUUUUAUUCAUAAAAGUAUGCAAUCAAUUCAUCAAUGUUUUGUUAUGACGUUUUCACGUUAAACUAUCGUCCGUAAACCGACUUUACAGACAACCAAUUUUUUUAUAAAUACAGAUUUACGCUCCAGAUCUAUCCCACAGGAACCAUACUUUUUUUUUUCCGGGAUGAAAAGGAGCAUUUGUCCCUCUCCGGCUCAUAAAAUAUCUCUAUGCAAACAAUUAAUGUCAAUCUCAAAUACUUGAACACGAUGCAUUACACUCUCACUUGGAAGCCAUUAUUCCAAUAUGAUUCUAACUGCAGGUGCUUGCUGCACAUACAUUUACCGUCAAACAGAUAGGAAGACGUUGCUUUGUGUUUGUGCAUGCGAGUUCCCUGCCACUGGCUAGAUUGAAGUUCGUCAUGGCCCUGUCUGGCCGGGCGACAGCGGUACGGCAUGGUGGCAUACGCGGACCUAAAAAUAACAUUUGGUCCUUUACAAUCCAUGCCGCAACUUAACUUGCCACGGCUGAUGUUUGUACAACAGCCGAUAGUGUAGUCACCUGCGCACGCAUCUCUUCCUCCCUUGUAUGACUAACUGUAUACCACGGUACAACUGUUGUUUACAGAAGUUGAAGCAGACUUCUUGGUGUCAUGCCCGACUUUUUUCUUUGCCUGUGGCGUUUUCAUGCUAACUGAAAUUUACAGACGUGCUAUUCAAGACUGGGGCAGUAAAAUUAACAUUGUGCUAAAUGAAUUCGUGCAUUUUGAAGCCAUACUAAGUGAGGGAUUGGUGUAUGAUCAACCAAAAUAAUAUGAAGAAACCACCUUUUUAUGUUUUCCAGAAAUUUGUGUAGUUUUAUGAAGGUAUAUUUUAUUUUACAUUUAAAUCAAUGCAUUCAUGACUACACUUCACAGGAAAAAUGUUUUACAUUGAUUAACACAAAUUUAGGAUAUCUCAAGUGUAAUUCUUUUCAUUUCUUUCUUUAGAGUGCUAAUUGAUAGUAUCAAAGUGUGCUCUUUGAGCUUUGUGUAACAAGAAAAUGUUUUAUAGUAUUUAUUUUAGAAAUGGGAUAGCUUUUGUUUAUUAAAAAUGUUAAUACAAACUUUACAAUAGAUUUUAUGAUAUUAUUUAGUACUUAUUGAUACAUUUUGAAUUGCUUAGGUAUUGUUAAUGGAUAGUUUUGGGAUAGAAAAUAUUAAAAAUAUAAUUUUUGUGUAUGAUAUGUUUUGAGUGAAUAAAGUUAGUUAGUUGAAAAAAUAGUUGGCACAUAAAUCUGCUUUUAUUAAUGCACAACAUUAAUUGUAUGCAUGGUUAUUUUAUGAGUAUAAUCAUUAAAAUAUUCACAAUUCAAUUUUACUUUGGAAGUAUUUUAAACAUUGUGUGUUAAUUGCUCUGCGUAAAAGAAAUGGAUUUAUGCAUACUUGUUAAUAGAUUUUCUUUCAGUAUGUUAUGUCAUGGGAGAAUAUUUUGCAAAGAAGCAUGUUAAAAGCAAGCAUUCAGUUGAAAGAGCACCAAAAUUCAAAGUAUGUAGUUGCGUGAAUCUCAUGUAAGUGGCUUGUAAGCUCAUUGUUAUUGUCUAUCCAAUGAAUGAGUGAACUUUUUUUGUUGUCAGAUUUAAGCGAGACCUUAAGAUUAAGCUGUUUCCACACUAAUUAUUCCAUGAAAUAAAUUAAGUACUCUGGUUUUCAAAGAACUAGGCUAUUCAAUCAUUAUAUUUUUCACAGAAAUGGAAAUAUACACAUCUGUCUAACUUCAAAUGAUAAAGUAACCUUUCAGAAAAGUGAACUCAUUCAUGGGAUAUACUUUUAUUAUGUUUGUGUUCAAUAUUCUAUGUAUAUCCUUCAUGCCGUACGUACCUGAAAAUAAUGCUAUGAUUUUCCCAAAAUUGCUGAAACUAAAAGCGAGGGUCUAAUUAUAAUUGCAACUUGUAUCUUGUUGCUGGGAGAACGUGAAUUAAAAGUGACUGGAACCACUUAGUUCAAAAACUACAUGCACUGCAUCACUGAAGACACUUCUCACUGCUGUCUCUGAACCUCCGCUUAGUUAAAAAAAAACUACCCAAUUUGCCGUUGAGUGUGACAGGAAAAUUCUUUGGAAACUUGAUGGGGUGAGGGAGUCCAAAUGGAGUUUGUUACUGGCAUACUGGCUGUUAGCCAAGGCACUCCCCCUCUUUUUUUUUAUUAUUCCCACCCUUCCAGGCAGACCAUCAUACAUUGCAGCAUUCUUUGUUUUCCAACCAAUGGCUUUCGAACUAAAGCUAUAAAACUUUUUUUUCUAAUUGCUGCUUUCUGUUUUUAAAAAGGCUACCAUGUUUUAUCGCACCGAUAUUUUAGGGCGUUAAAAUUUGGAUAAGAAAACCUCCUGUGAUCAUUCCAUGAUAUUUUUGGUCCCAUAAUUAAAUUCCUAUCCCUUUGUGUUGGUUUUUUUUUCCGUAUAAAACGAUGUAUUUUAAAGAAGAAUCUAAUAUUUAUUCGGACAUUACCACUUAUUUAAUUAAUGGAAAUACGAAGUUGUCUGAUGUGUAAAUUUUCUUUUUUAGACUUUUUUAACGUUAUAACCUUUAUCUGUUUUUUUUUUUUGCUUCGCCGCGGUGUACCGCUUAUAUAAAUGUAGCCAGCGCUAGUUGGAAUCAUUCAGGUUUGGUUAUGUUGCUUCCCGUAUAGAGCGUGUACAAGUAGUCUAAUAUUAUCUGUCUGAUUGCAUGCAACACGUGCUCUCUGUCGAGUGCCGAGUUAACUACAUUUGAUGGCCCGCACUCUUUAGUGGUUUUUACUACGUCAAUAGUUACACGUUAGUUCAGGCUUGCAUUCGGGUUACGGAUUUUGUUUAAUUUAAAGUUGAAGAAAGGUUUUUGUUGCAUGACUUGUUAAUUUAAAUUGAUUGGCGUGCUUUUGCAUACUCUACUUUUUAAAUACAUACUUUCCAUGAAUGGGUUUUGUUUAUAUGAAUAACUUUACCUAACAAAAACAUUUUUUGUCAUGAUAGUCUCACCCCUACUUUUCAAAUUUGAUUUUAGUAUUAAAUGUGCAACGAUUAUGCGAUAAAACACGGUAUCAUCUGGUGAAAGUAGCACCACAAAAGUGUUUUAGUUAUGCUUAAUUUCUGUGUUUAAAUUGUGAUUUUCACUUAAUAAAAUUUUUCAUAGACUCAGUUUGGGGUCGUAUAAUUUUUGGGUAAAUACGGUAAAUGUACACAACUGUAUUGACACAGAUUUCACUGUGUACAUAGUUUUGCACUGCAGCCAAGUCCAUGACUAUUUUAAAAUUCUGUGUAGUAGUGUUAAAAAAGAGUUGUUAUAAAAAAAGUUGUGUUGGUACAAUAAAUACUGGCUUAUCAAA